CUCCAAAAUUCUGGGAUUACAGAAUCUCUCUGGAAAAAGACAUGACUGUCUGCAAUGAUACAUCCUGACAAGAAGUUAAUGCCAGAGAAGGAAAAGAAAUUAACAGCUAGUGAACAGAAUUUUAAACAACCAGGAUUUUGUAUUUGUUACUUCCAACUACAGACUUUUUAAAUCCCAGAACUUGAACAAAGAUUUUUUUUUGACACUGAGAAAACUGCAAUGUCUAGGAAACAAAGCCAGAAGGAUUCAUCAGGAUUCAUUUUUGAUUUGCAGUCCAAUACUGUACUGGCCCAGGGAGGAACUUUUGAAAACAUGAAAGAGAAG